GGACCUGACUGCUAUCGGAUUGGUACUAAGCCAUGUGAGUCGUUGUAGCAAUACAAGGCAUACGGCUCAGUAACACGUAGUCAAUCUAACCUAUGGACGGGGAUAACCUCGGGAAACUGAGGAUAAAACCCGAUAGAUCAUAAUGCCUGGAACGGUUUAUGGUCCAAAUGAUUCGUCGCCGUAGGGUGGGACUGCGGCCUAUCAGCUUGUUGGUGAGGUAAUGGCCCACCAAGGCUAUUACAGGUACGGGCUCUGAGAGGAGAAGCCCGGAGAUGGGUACCGAGACACGGACCCAGGCCCUAUGGGGCGCAGCAGGCGAGAAACCUUUGCAAUGUGCGCAAGCACGACAAGGUUAAUCCGAGUGUUUCCUGUUAAAGGAAUCUUUUGUUAGUCGUAAAAUCACUAUUGAAUAAGGGGUGGGCAAGUUCUGGUGUCAGCCGCCGCGGUAAAACCAGCACCUCAAGUGGUCAGGAUGAUUAUUGGGCCUAAAGCAUCCGUAGCCUGUUCUGUAAGUUUUCGGUUAAAUCCAUUAGCUCAACUAAUGGGCCGCCGAAAAUACUGCAGAACUAGGGAGUGGGAGAGGUAGACGGUACUCGGUAGGAAGGGGUAAAAUCCUUUGAUCUAUUGAUGACCACCUGUGGCGAANGCGGUCUACCAGAACACGUUCGACGGUGAGGGAUGAAAGCUGGGGGAGCAAACCGGAUUAGAUACCCGGGUAGUCCCAGCUGUAAACGAUGCAGACUCGGUGAUGCGCUGGCUUGUGGCCAGUGCAGUGCCGCAGGGAAGCCGUUAAGUUUGCCGCCUGGGAAGUACGUACGCAAGUAUGAAACUUAAAG
rnacentral:rRNA from 1 species